rnacentral:lncRNA from 1 species
GUUACAAGUUCGCACGUGAGCGGCGCGGCGGCGCGAGGCAAGGGCGUAGCUCCAUAGAUAGCGCCCUACCCCCGAGACCGAGAUAGCGGUACCCCGAGUCGGCAUAGCCUAGGGGUAGAGGGAAGGAAAAAGUAAAAGUUGUAAUAACUUAAAUUGUAUUUUGGAAGUAAUAUGUAAUUGUGAUGUAUAAAGCAUAUAUGUGAAUGCUUGUAAUAGUUAGCUGUUUAUAUUUUUGAUACUUCCUUAUGCAAUCUGAAUGUUCAAUACUGUUCCUGGUUGGAACCCUUGUAUUGUAUUGAUUGCGACGCCUAGGACGUACAGGAAAAACUCUGUCGGUUCGGCGGUCUGUCG